rnacentral:rRNA from 1 species
UGGCUCAGAACGAACGCUGGCGGCGUGCCUAACACAUGCAAGUCGAACGAGAAAGUGGAGCAAUCCAUGAGUAAAGUGGCGACCGGGUGAGUAACACGUGACUACCUACCCUCGAGUGGGGGAUAACCCCGGGAAACCGGGGCUAAUACCGCAUAACAUCGCAAGAUCAAAGAAGCAAUUCGCUUGAGGAGGGGGUCGCGGCUGAUUAGCUAGUUGGUAGGGUAAUGGCCUACCAGGGAGAAGAUCGGUAGCCGGCCUGAGAGGGCGCACGGCCACACUGGAACUGAAACACGGGACAGACUCCUACGGGACCCAUGCAGUGGG